rnacentral:rRNA from 1 species
GCGAAAGUAUGCAAGGGCAUACGGUGGAUGCCUAGGCUCUCACAGGCGAUGAAGGACGUGACAAGCUGCGAUAAGCCACGGUAAGGUGCAAAUGACCUUUGACCCGUGGAUUUCCGAAUGGGACAACCCACCGCGUUGAAGAUGCGGUAUCCGUUAAUACGGAGGCAAACCCGGGGAACUGAAACAUCUUAUUACCCGGAGGAAAAGAAAACAAGAGUGAUACCCCUAGUAGUGGCGAGCGAACGGGGUUCAGCCCAAACCAUAUCGGUUCCGGCCGAUAUGGGGUUGUAGGGCCGCGAUAUUGUACGUGCGAUGCGAGUGUGACGUUCUGGAAAGUUCGGCCAUAGCGGGUGAUAGCCCCCUUCACGAAGCAUCAAUCGGCAUAGCGUACCCCUGAGUAGCGCGGGACACGUGUAAUCCUGUGUGAAUCCGCCGGGUCCAUCCGGCAAGGCUAAAUACUCGUGAGAGACCGAUAGUGAACCAGUACCGUGAGGGAAAGGUGAAAAGCACCUCUAGCAGAGGAGUGAAAUAGUUCCUGAAACCGUAUGCCUACAAGCGGUCGGAGCUUCUAUAUGGAGUGACGGCGUGCCUUUUGCAUAAUGAACCUACGAGUUGCCGUCUGUGGCGAGGUUAAGGGCGAUGACGCCCGUAUCCGUAGCGAAAGCGAGUCUGAAUAGGGCUAUAGUCACAGGAGGCAGACGCGAAACCGGGUGAUCUACGCAUGGCCAGGAUGAAGUCCCGGUAACACGGGAUGGAGGUCCGAACGAAUAAGCGUUGAAAAGCUUCUCGAUGAGCUGUGCGUAGGAGUGAAAGGCCAAUCAAACCCGGAGAUAGCUCGUACUCCCCGAAAGGCAUUUAGGUGCCGCCUCUGUUGUUUCCCUUAUGAGGUAGAGCGACUGAUUGGAUGCGAGGGCUUCACCGCCUAUCAAGUCCAGACAAACUCCGAAUGCGUAAGGGUUAAGACAGGGAGUAAGGGCGUGGGUGCUAAGGUCCACGCCCGAGAGGAGAAGAAUCCAGACCAUCGGCUAAGGUCCCGAAAUUGUCGCUAAGUUAGUCUAACGUAGUCCGGCCCCCCAGACAGCCAGGAUGUUGGCUUGGAAGCAGCCAUUCAUUCAAAGAGUGCGUAACAGCUCACUGGUCAAGGAGCUGGGCGUGGAUAAUAAUCGGGUAUGAAGCGACGUACCGAAGCCAUGGGAUGCUUUAAGCAUCGGUAGGGGAGCAUUCCUGUCUGCGUAGAAUGCAUGUUGUGAAUCAUGCUGGAGCGUCAGGAAAAGCAAAUGUAGGUAUAAGUAACGAUAAAGGGGGUAAGAUGCCCCCUCGCCGCAAGGCCAAGGUUUCCGGGGCGACGUUAAUCGUCCCCGGGUCAGUCGGGUCCUAAGUCUAAGGCGAACGCCGAUGGCGAUGGCAAGGCGGUUAAUAUUCCGCCACUCGUAUAUCGCGUGAUGUGGUGACGCAGGAGUGACACUGCCGCCCUCUGACGGAAUAGAGGGUAUAAGUACAAAGACGUCGAUGACAGCAGGCAAAUCCACUGUCAGAGUUGAAGUGCGAAAGUACGGUGCUCCCUUCGGGGAAAUCCGAUAGUGCAGGUAAUCAAGCUGCCAAGAAAAUCCGCUAAACAGCAACGAUAUACGACCCGUACCGUAAACGGACACACGUGGCCGGGUUGAAUAUACUCAGGCGCUCGGGAGACUCACGGUUAAGGAAUUAGGCAAAUUGACCCCGUACCUUCGGAAUAAGGGGUCCUCGCUUUGCGAGGCGCAGAGAAUUGGUCCAGGCAACUGUUUACCAAAAACACAGGGCUGUGCAAACUCUAACGAUGAAGUAUACAGCCUGACACCUGCCCGGUGCCGGAAGGUUAAGAGGAGGGCUCAGAGGUAACUCGAAGGUCUGAAUUGAAGCCCCGGUAAACGGCGGCCGUAACUAUAACGGUCCUAAGGUAGCGAAAUUCCUUGUCGGGUAAGUUC